GACGUAGGGCGCGAGCGUUGUCCGGAAUUAUUGGGCGUAAAGAGCUCGUAGGCGGCCAGUUGCGUCUGCUGUGAAAUCCCGGGGCUCAACCCCGGGCGUGCAGUGGAUACGGGCUGGCUAGAGGCAGGCAGGGGAGAACGGAAUUCCCGGUGUAGCGGUGAAAUGCGCAGAUAUCGGGAGGAACACCGGUGGCGAAGGCGGUUCUCUGGGCCUGUACUGACGCUGAGGAGCGAAAGCGUGGGGAGCGAACAGG
rnacentral:rRNA from 1 species